AGUUGUGGCUCAGUGGUAGAGUGCCUGCCUAGCAUGUGUGAGGCACUGGGUUCAAUCUCCAGCACGAAUA
rnacentral:tRNA from 1 species